rnacentral:rRNA from 1 species
UGGGGAAUAUUGGGCAAUGGGCGCAAGCCUGACCCAGCAACGCCGCGUGAAGGAAGAAGGCUUUCGGGUUGUAAACUUCUUUUCUCAGGGACGAACAGAUGACGGUACCUGAGGAAUAAGCCACGGCUAACUACGUGCCAGCAACCGCGGUAAUCACUGUCU